rnacentral:rRNA from 1 species
AUUGAACGCUGGCGGAAUGCUUUACACAUGCAAGUCGAGCGGCAGCGCGGCCUUCGGGCUGGCGGCGAGCGGCGAACGGGUGAGUAAUGCAUCGGAACAUGCCCAGUCGUGGGGGAUAACACUUCGAAAGAAGUGCUAAUACCGCAUACGUCCUGAGGGGGAAAGCGGGGGAUCGCAAGACCUCUCGCGAUUUGAGUGGCCGAUGUCAGAUUAGCUAGUUGGUGGGGUAAAGGCCUACCAAGGCGACGAUCUGUAGCUGGUCUGAGAGGAUGAUCAGCCACACUGGGACUGAGACACGGCCCAGACUCCUACGGGAGGCAGCAGUGGGGAAUUUUGGACAAUGGGGGCAACCCUGAUCCAGCCAUUCCGCGUGAGUGAAGAAGGCCUUCGGGUUGUAAAGCUCUUUCGGCAGGAACGAAACGGUGGGCUCUAACAUAGUCCGCUAAUGACGGUACCUGAAGAAGAGGCACCGGCUAACUACGUG